rnacentral:rRNA from 1 species
AGCGAACGCUGGUGGCGUGCUUAAUACAUGCAAGUCGAGCGAUGAAAUCCUUCGGGAUGGAUUAGCGGCGGACGGGUGAGUAACACGUGGGUAACCUGCCUCAAAGAGGGGAAUAGCCUUCCGAAAGGAAGAUUAAUACCGCAUAAUAUGUUUUGGUCGCAUGAUCAGAACAUCAAAGGAGUAAUCCGCUUUUGAGAUGGACCCG